UGCAGUCGAGCGGACAGAUGGGAGCUUGCUCCCUGAUGUUAGCGGCGGACGGGUGAGUAACACGUGGGUAACCUGCCUGUAAGACUGGGAUAACUCCGGGAAACCGGGGCUAAUACCGGAUGGUUGUUUGAACCGCAUGGUUCAGACAUAAAAGGUGGCUUCGGCUACCACUUACAGAUGGACCCGCGGCGCAUUAGCUAGUUGGUGAGGUAACGGCUCACCAAGGCGACGAUGCGUAGCCGACCUGAGAGGGUGAUCGGCCACACUGGGACUGAGACACGGCCCAGACUCCUACGGGAGGCAGCAGUAGGGAAUCUUCCGCAAUGGACGAAAGUCUGACGGAGCAACGCCGCGUGAGUGAUGAAGGUUUUCGGAUCGUAAAGCUCUGUUGUUAGGGAAGAACAAGUGCCGUUCAAAUAGGGCGGCACCUUGACGGUACCUAACCAGAAAGCCACGGCUAACUACGUGCCAGCAGCCGCGGUAAUACGUAGGUGGCAAGCGUUGUCCGGAAUUAUUGGGCGUAAAGGGCUCGCAGGCGGUUUCUUAAGUCUGAUGUGAAAGCCCCCGGCUCAACCGGGGAGGGUCAUUGGAAACUGGGGAACUUGAGUGCAGAAGAGGAGAGUGGAAUUCCACGUGUAGCGGUGAAAUGCGUAGAGAUGUGGAGGAACACCAGUGGCGAAGGCGACUCUCUGGUCUGUAACUGACGCUGAGGAGCGAAAGCGUGGGGAGCGAACAGGAUUAGAUACCCUGGUAGUCCACGCCGUAAACGAUGAGUGCUAAGUGUUAGGGGGUUUCCGCCCCUUAGUGCUGCAGCUAACGCAUUAAGCACUCCGCCUGGGGAGUACGGUCGCAAGACUGAAACUCAAAGGAAUUGACGGGGGCCCGCACAAGCGGUGGAGCAUGUGGUUUAAUUCGAAGCAACGCGAAGAACCUUACCAGGUCUUGACAUCCUCUGACAAUCCUAGAGAUAGGACGUCCCCUUCGGGGGCAGAGUGACAGGUGGUGCAUGGUUGUCGUCAGCUCGUGUCGUGAGAUGUUGGGUUAAGUCCCGCAACGAGCGCAACCCUUGAUCUUAGUUGCCAGCAUUCAGUUGGGCACUCUAAGGUGACUGCCGGUGACAAACCGGAGGAAGGUGGGGAUGACGUCAAAUCAUCAUGCCCCUUAUGACCUGGGCUACACACGUGCUACAAUGGACAGAACAAAGGGCAGCGAAACCGCGAGGUUAAGCCAAUCCCACAAAUCUGUUCUCAGUUCGGAUCGCAGUCUGCAACUCGACUGCGUGAAGCUGGAAUCGCUAGUAAUCGCGGAUCAGCAUGCCGCGA
rnacentral:rRNA from 2 species